AAGGAAUCUGAGUCCUGGAAGGAAACGAUUGCAAAACAUGUUUGGGAUAGGUGCAAAGCAUUGGAAUGUUGUUACAUCAAGAAGUGCUGUUGCAGCUCAAGCAUGAUACCACAAAAGCUGCUACUUUUUAAAGCAUUACCAAUAAAGAUCGUUAAAGUUGCUGCAUCGUUUUUAUUGUUACACCAACCUGCAAUAAACAAUUGCCGGCCGUCCUUUCCUCUGUUGCUUUUUAGUCGAGGCUGAGCCAAAUCAAUGGUUCGAGUGAUAAGAUUCCUCGUUUAACUGUCUUGUUGAAAUAUAUGCUUUCAAUGCCAAACCUUUGGUUUUCAAUGCAACAUGUUACUUUGUUUUAAAAGGGUUCCGGAGUAAUAUAUCAAUGGGGCAGUAGACCGAGUCAGUUUUCAAAUAUUUGUAUUUUAUUUUCAGACUGGACGUUUUUAAAUGCUAGCCUUCACCGGGUUUGCACGUUAUUGUUUCUAUCUCUCGGCUCGAUCUUUCCCAGAUAGGAUUGUAGUUUGUUUCAGCCUUUCCGCCCUUUUAUGCGUGGCAACUUCUAAAAAAAUCUGUUCUUAAAAUUCGAAGCAAUAUUUGCUGAAGCUAUUUGAAACACUUCGAUCAAUUGCUGGAUAAGAAUAUGUGCAGGACUUCUGGAAGAGAGGCAGGCAGUCAAGCUGAUCAGACGCUUUGCUGGCCCAGUACCCAGACCUGUGUGCAGAAAAGUACACAAUUGGGAUGUGGCAUUGAAAAGCAGGUCAGAUAUGGCAUGGACAAGAGAGUUCUGGAUGGGGGGACAGAUCAUGGAUCGGAAGGCUGUCAUUCCAGCAACCAGAUGCCAGAAAGGAACGAAUCAGAGAUUUGUGACGAUUAGAAGGGAAUCUUUCACUGAUUGUGGGGGGCAUUGAUAUGGGGUCCCUACAACUAAAAGUCGGGAUAUGGCAGGGUGACCCAGGAGCUUGUGAUCGGUUCUGAACUUUCUGUCCUGGGCCUCCUCCAUUGUCAUAGUAAGGUCAAACGCAAAUAGGAGGAACAGCAUCUCAUAUUUCGCUUGGGCAGCUUACAACCCAGUGGUAUGACUAUUGAUUUCUCUAACUUCAAGUAGCCCUUACAUCCCCUCCCCCCCUUUCCUUCCCUCUCCCACCCGUCAUACCAGCUUCAAAGAUCUUUUUGAAUCUCAUUGUCUAUACUCGUUUUCACCUAGACCACAGCUAACAAUGGCCUGCUUCCUUUAUCAUCGUUAUUCUUUUACAUAUUCUUUCUCUCUACAUCACCGUCUAUAUCUCUUGUUUCCCUUUCCCCUGACUAAGAAAGGUCUCGACCCAAAACGUCAACAAAUUUUGUUGUACAUGGUUCAUGUUACAAUGACAAUAAAGAAACUAUAUUCUAUUCUA